rnacentral:rRNA from 1 species
GCGAACGCUGGCGGCAGGCCUCACCCAUGCAAGUCGCACGAACCUUUCGGGGUUAGUGGCGGACGGGUGAGUAACACGUGGGAACGUGCCUUUAGGUUCGGAAUAACUCAGGGAAACUUGUGCUAAUACCGAAUGUGCCCUUCGGGGGAAAGAUUUAUCGCCUUUAGAGCGGCCCGCGUCUGAUUAGCUAGUUGGUUGAGGUAAUGGCUCACCAAGGCGACGAUCAGUAGCUGGUCUGAGAGGAUGAUCAGCCACAUUGGGACUGAGACACGGCCCAAACUCCUACGGGAGGCAGCAGUGGGGAAUCUUGCGCAAUGGGCGAAAGCCUGACGCAGCCAUGCCGCGUGAAUGAUGAAGGUCUUAGGAUUGUAAAAUUCUUUCACCGGGGACGAUAAUGACGGUACCCGGAGAAGAAGCCCCGGCUAACUUCGUG